CCCCAUCCGGCGACGGAUUUUGACGUGUAAGAUGUCGUUGGAAAGCUCUCUUCCUUCUCUUCAUUUCUGGGUUCGUUUCGUAGCUUAAUAUGAACUGUGGAAGGUGCAGCAACGAGAAGAAGAGGACGGUCACUGUAGCAGUUUUAAGUCAACGCCGAUAUUUUCCGAUUCCGGCAGUCUCCGGCCACCAAAUUGGCGUCGAAGGGUUCUUGGAAUUUCUGGAAAAUUUUCACCGGCCAAAUUGGAGCUCUUCCAGGGCAAUGCCGCGAGCUACGGUUAAAUGAAGGAAUUCGUUUGCGUGGUCGCCCAAUAGUACUUUUGCAGGCGAAAUUAGUUGAGGUCGGGCGUACAUGGAGUCGAGGCAUAGCCAACAGCAUUGCUUCCGCGUACUCAUUCUAUUUCUGUUUUCUUUGUUACCUAGUGGAUUAGUAUUUCUCUGAUAACCUAUGGGAUUAAUAUUGUUUUUGGGUUGAGACUGAUAUUUGUGAAAUUGGAGUUGUGAUUUGGGGAGCAGAUGGCUCCAGAAGAUUAAGGAUGGAUGAUUUAGAAGUGUAAAUGUUUUCCUACAGGUUUUGGGUAGCCUACUUUUAGGGGAAGUUCCGCCAAAUUUUUGGUAGAAUCUCUUCUAAAGUGGGCCCCGCAGGGCCACUUCGAUUUCAGGGUGAAAUCUGGGGCGGGUCCUGUCAAUGCUAGUGUGCUUCUAGAGUUACCUUACCACAAUUUGAGAAACUUCUGAUGUUCUUGUGGUGGCAAAAUAGGAAUGCAGCAUUAUGGGAAGAAAAGUCUAGAUUCCCAGUAGACAUAGCUAUCUCUACAGUAGGCUGCGUUGUGCUCCGAAAGUUUAUGAGGUGAAUUGGCAUCCACCCAUUAUUGGUUGGUUCAAAGUUAACACGAAUGGUGCUUGGAAGCGAGGGGAGGAUCGUUCAAGUUAUGGUGGUGUUUUUCGUGAUUUCCAUGGGGAGGUUGUCGGUGCUUUUUCAUCAUCCCUUGACAUUCCUAGUUCCAUUGCUGCGGAGGUUAUGGCAGUGAUCAAGGCAAUCGAGCUUGCAUGGGUUCGUGAUUGGAAGCAUAUUUGGGUUGAAGUUGACUCGUCCCUAAUUCUGAAUUUUCUCCGCUCUCCUCAACUGGUACCUUGGCAAUUACAGGUGACAUGAAAAAAUUGUGUGCAUCGCAUUUCAAUGAUGCAAUUUCAUUGUUCACAUAUUUUUCGUGAAGGAAACUAGGCGGCUGAUGCAUUGGCCAAUUUUGGCGCUUCAUCAGGUACGGGCUUUACUUGGUUUGAUUCAUCUCCAAGCUUCGUUAAUCAAUUUUGUUUAAGAGAUAAGUUGGGUCUCCCUAGUUUUCGUUUUAGAUGAUUUCUUUUGUUUUGGAAGGCAGGAUGUUGUCUAUCAUUCCUCAUCUGUUGUACUUCACAUCUGGGAGGUGUAGGAUAUGUCCUCUCCUCUUACUUGUAUUUCCCUUUUUUUUUUUUAAUAAAUCUUUUUCCUUGCAUUUGCGAGGUUUGAUUAAAAAAAAAAAAAAGGCUGGUUUGAAGAGUACAAGCUGGUACAUGCAUCUAUAGUUCCUGGUGUUCGUGUUGUAUAAAGAUGGACUUGUCUGGUUGGGAAUACUUUUAAAUGUAAUAUUGAUGGCAGUUUUAAUUA